ensembl:lncRNA
UCCCCCAAGCCCCAUCUUCUGUUGGUUUAGCACAAAUACCCCUCUCUUUCAGCACCUCCAGACCUAACCCCCAGUCAAUGUAAUUGUUUUAUAUAUAUUUAAUCUUAUUCAAUGGAAACCAUGCUUUUGUCGUUUUAUACUUUGCUAGGUAGACUUUAUUACCCCCCCCAACUAUGCCCUCAUUUUUUUAAAAAAGGAAAAAAAAAAGAAAUUGGGUUUCAGUCUUAAUUCCUUUUCUGUGCCAGGUUUGAUUUCGUGCGUGCGUGUGAAUGUGUUCCGUUUCGUGUUUUGUUUUUGUUGUUGUUGUUUUCUGUUGUUCGGUUUUAUUUGCUCCCCUCUGGUCCCAUACUUUACAGCACUCUGGUGCAGGAAGAAGCAGAAGCAAAAAAAUAAAAAAUCUAAAAAGAAAAAAAAAAGAAGAAGAGCCGACAGAUCAGAGCAGCGCACCCCCAGCUCUUCCCCAGGGGGAGCCAGGCCCUCAGUGACGGAGGUUCAGGCCCAGCUUACUCACUUGCAAGAGGAAGGAACCAGGCCAGAGAGAGGCAGUGAGUGGCCCCAAGUCACACAGCCAGCUCGUGGUGGUGCAAAGCUAGGGUCUAGGCCUUCAGGCCAGGACUCCUGCCCCCGGGUGGAGCCUGGGAGUGUCCUCGGUUCCUGGUAAGUUCUCUAGGAGCUCCCGGCAUUUUCAGACACAGCAAGAGGCACUCAACACGGGCUUCACGCCAAAGCUGGGCCCCCUGCGGUCCUCAGCUGCCCCCUCAUUCUGCUCCAGGGGAGCCCUGGGCCUCCUUCUGGGGCUGUCCCUGUGAUGACCAGCUCUUGUUUCCGUCUGAUGGGGAGAAGUGACUUGGGGAAGUGGAGACGGACAUGGUUCAGAGCCAAAUGGUCUGGGGCUGGAGACUGACUCUGUCUCUCCCUGACUGUGACCUGAGGCACCCAGGGCCUCAGUUUCUUCAUCUGUAAUAUGGGAGUGAUGAAAAUGGUACCCACUUUGUAGGGCUGUUUUAAGGAUUCAGUGGCUUAACAAUUAUGAGUGCUUAAGACAGUAUGUGGCAGAUAGGAAGAUUUACUAUUUAUCAACUUUCACCCCUUCUUGUGAUGUCAAGCCUCCGUCCCUCAGGGAGCUGAUUCAGUGGGGCUGUCAGUCACAACCCUCCUCUAAGGGGUAUAUUGACUCAGGCAAGACCAAUCACUGUACCCUGUUGCCCCGGGAAGUUGCUGGGUUAGUGAGUAAGACCAGCCUGAUGAAGGUCUAGUUCAGUCCCUGGAUCUAGCCUAACCUGAAGCCCAUGUACUCCCUGGGAUUCCCAACAUGUAAGACUAUAAUGCUCUUAUUUUGUUUAAACAAGUUUGAAUAGAGUUCUGAUCCAUAUCCCUUCUUUGCUCCAUGGGACGUGAAAGGUUUCCGCAGGACAGUCCCCUUCUCCCGUGGGCUAGGGUCCCCAGUCUUGGUUUUCAUCCAGCCCCACACUGGAUCACUCUUGCUCACUCAGAGAGGCAGGUCUUCUGUGUCUGAGCUGCAAUCAGGGCUCACAACAAAAGGAAACAAACUUGUGUAGAGUACCUACCAGGCCCUAGAUAUGGUGCUGGGGCUUUUGUUGUAUCUACAGCUGAGGCGGCUGUGACUCAGAGAGGUGCAAUGACUUGCCCGUGGCCACACAGUAAGGAAGUAGAAUCCCUUCCAUUUGAACCCAGGCAGUCUGACUCCAAAGCAGGGGUACUUCUCACAGCACCCAGCAGCUUACUAUUGGUGGGGGCAUUUUUUUUCCCAUUAAAAAAUGUAUAAUAUAAAAUUCACCAUCUAAGAGAGGGGAUUUUGCAAGGCAGAUAUACCAAAAGAUGAUGUAGAGAAUUCACUGCUCCCAGUGGGCUGCUGCCCCUGGAGAAUGGAGGCCUGGGCUCAUUCAUGUAACACGUUAUGGGGCCCCUACUAGGUGUCUGGCGGGGUCCAAGGCAGGGCCCAGCGCUCAAGAUGAGGCCAUGAGAGGACUCAGGUGAAGAGUUUAAGGUGAUGCUCCUUCUNNNNNNNNNNNNNNNNNNNNNNNNNNNNNNNNNNNNNNNNNNNNNNAAAUCCUGCGCCAGCAGCCUAGCUUGGACACUGUAUUCCCAGCCCGGGUUCGACAUCAGACUUUGCACUUCUGCUGCAGGGGCCGUGGGUAUUCGAUACCUGGUCAGGGCACUAAAGUCCCACAAGCACCCCCCCACCCCCCGCCGAAAAAGAUCAAGGAGAGUUUAGAUAACCUGGCAGACACCCAGUCCAGUCAGGAUAGGAGCUUCCGACACACUGUCCCUGAGGAAUGAUUGUUGGCAAGGUUUCCAGGGUGGGGGCCACUUGGCACAACACGGCCGAAUCACUGGGGGUCUGGAGGGGAGACUGAGCUCACGGGUACACCAGGUUACCGCCUGUGACAGCAUCCUCAAGGGCAGGGACGCCGCCACCGUCAA